rnacentral:misc_RNA from 1 species
GAUCCAGACCACAACUUUUCUUCUGUUCCUUUAUGUCAUAGACUUUUUCUUUUCUCCUUACUAGCCGUACUUCUCUUUUCAACAAGCAUGGCAGCAGCUCUUUUCACAUAUUUAUUCUUCUUUGCUUCCAUCUCUACAACCCUUGCUUAUGAUCCUGACAUGCUUCAAGAUCUAUGCGUGGCUGAUAAAUCUUCAGGUGUUAAAUUGAAUGGAUUUCCGUGCAAGGCUGAGGCAAAUAUUUCAGAAGCUGAUUUUUUCUUUGCCGGUAUAGCAAAGCCAGGAGUUGUCAACAGUUCAGUGGGAUCACUAGUUACAGGCGCUAAUGUUGAGAAAAUUCCAGGCCUCAACACUCUAGGAGUGUCGCUGGCCCGCAUUGACUAUGCUCCUGAUGGUCUGAACCCACCACACACGCACCCACGCGCCACCGAAAUUAUCUUUGUGCUUGAAGGGGAAUUGGACGUAGGAUUCAUCACCACUGCCAACAAGCUGAUUUCUAAAACUGUAAAAAAAGGAGAAAUCUUUGUGUUCCCUAGAGGUCUGGUUCACUUCCAGAAGAAUAAUGGUGACAAGGCAGCCUCAGUGAUUUCAGCUUUCAAUAGUCAGUUGCCUGGAACCCAAUCCAUUGCCUUGACAUUGUUUACAUCAACUCCAGCAGUGCCAGACAAUGUUCUAACUAAAGCUUUCCAAGUUGGUACCAAGGAGAUUGAAAAGAUCAAAUCCAAGCUUGCCCCCAAGAAGUCCUGAUGAUUUUAUUCCUUUCUUGCAAAAAUUUUCAUGCCUAAUAGUAUUGAAUUUAUGUAAGCGGACAUACAGAUUUUUAUGUUUCUUUAUCAACUCAAUAACGGAAUUGAAUAUAAACGGAUACUUGUAAUCAUCUCAUAAUAAAGUGAAAUAAUUCUUCAAAAAAUUAUGUACAUAUCAUCACGUCUACCAGUAGCUGCAGCCUGCAGGGUACCGGUAGAUGGCCAGUGGAUUCUGUUUUGCUUACAAGUUACGAGCAUUGUAGCAUAUUUCAUUUUUUUUUUUGGAAGGUUAGGUGUACCAUUGACGGUGGCACUCUGCAACAUUUUUCUUUUUCUUCUUCUCCAUGAAAUGCCGAUUGCAACUUAUACCUUUCUGAUUAUAUACACGAG